UUAGCUGGAUCCAUCGUUAAAG
rnacentral:misc_RNA from 1 species